CGAGCGCAACCCUUGUCCUUAGUUACCAGCACGUUAUGGUGGGCACUCUAAGGAGACUGCCGGUGGACAAAACCCGGAGGAAGUGGGGAUGACGUCAAGUCAUCAUGGCCCUUACGGCCUGGGCUACACACGUGCUACAAUGGUCGGGUACAAAGGGUUGCCAAGCCGCGAGGUGGAGCUAAUCCCAUAAAACCGAUCGUAGUCCGGAUCGCAGUCUGCAACUCGACUGCGUGAAGUCGGAAUCGCUAGUAAUCGUGAAUCAGAAUGUCACGGUGAAUACGUUCCCGGGCCUU
rnacentral:rRNA from 1 species